UAAGGAAUAUUGGUCAAUGGACGCAAGUCUGAACCAGCCAUGCCGCGUGAAGGAUGAAGGUCCUCUGGAUUGUAAACUUCUUUUAUCUGGGACGAAAACGGGAUUUUUAUCUCAAUUGACGGUACCAGAGGAAUAAGCACCGGCUAACUCCGUGCCAGCAGCCGCGGUAAUACGGAGGGUGCGAGCGUUAUCCGGAUUUACUGGGUUUAAAGGGUGCGUAGGUGGGCUUAUAAGUCAGUGGUGAAAUCUCCGAGCUUAACUUGGAAACUGCCGUUGAUACUAUAGGUCUUGAAUUAUCUGGAGGUAAGCGGAAUAUGUCAUGUAGCUGUGAAAUGCUUAGAUAUGACAUAGAACACCAAUUGCGAAGGCAGCUUACUACAUAUAAAUUGACGCUGAGGCACGAAAGCGUGGGGAUCAAACA
rnacentral:rRNA from 1 species